GGGACCGUAGCUCAGCGGUAGAGCAGGGGACUCAUAAUCUCUUGGUCGCUGGUUCGAAUCCAGCCGGUCCCA
rnacentral:tRNA from 1 species